CCUGCGGAAGGAUCAUUGUCGAAAUCGAACGGAAGAACGACCCGCGAAUCGUCAUUGCGUACUAGACAGAGCCCGUGAGCACCUAACGCUCAUGGGACUCGCGUCGCGUCGGCGUGGGUGUACUCGAGACCAGCGUCGUACCGGCGGACAAACAACGUCAGCACGGAUCGUGCCAAGGAGCUGCAUGGAGAGAAUCGUCGUCCCACGCCUUUGAUAGUCCUCGAUGCGGGACGGGGGGCGGGGGAUGUACGCAAUCUCUACUCAAGUCUAAACGACUCUCGGCAACGGAUAUCUCGGCUCUUGCAUCGAUGAAGAACGUAGCGAAAUGCGAUACUUGGUGUGAAUUGCAGAAUCCCGCGAACCAUCAAUUCUUUGAACGCAAGUUGCGCCCGAAGCCAUUCGGCCGAGGGCACGCCUGCCUGGGUGUCGUGAAUCCCCUUGCCCCUAGGCACCCGCAUGAGCAUUGGCGGGGAUAUAUGCUCGGGCGCAGAAUAUGGUCUCCCGUGGGAUCGGCAUGCACGGCAUGUCGAGGUGCGGUUGGCCGAAAAUCGAGCAAUGGCUGUGACGGGCACCACGGCGUUCGGUGGAUCGAAUGAGAUUGGCUGCGCCGUGGGCUCGGCAUUAGGCGGGCUCCGGAC
rnacentral:rRNA from 1 species